GUUCUCACUUUGGCAGCGCAUAUAUUAAAACUGGAGUGAUACAGAGAGGGUAAGCGUGGACCCUGCACAAAGUGUCACUCAGAUUUCUGAAGUGUUCCGUUUUAUU